AAACAGUCAGAGGGCGACUCAGUGGGGGCGCGAGGCGAGGUAGGGAGUUCACCGCACUGCUGCGGGCUACAGGCCGCCCAACGAAGACUUCUGGAGAAGCCCAGUGACGGAGUCGGUAAACAGGUGGUGCACUUUUGUUACUCUUCACCCUCACGGCAUUCAGCCAGUGAACGGAGACGAUGCAAGUGGGGUUGCAGUUGCUGAGAGGCUGUGCAGUGAUCGUGACGGUAAACGUUUUGCAAUGCUGAUAUCACCAGCCCAUGAACUACAUGAAAAUCAAUGAGAAUCACUGUCUGUCGUUUUAAAGACUUAGAAAAUAACUGGAUACUGCUGAGUAGGGGUAUCUGGUGGGAUUGCGAUUAACCACUUCUACCCCACCACAACCCCCCAAAAAAUAUGAAGAAAAUCACUGAUACUUUUGUUCUAAUGACGUGUCCACUCAGCAUAUUUGUGUAAAAAUUGUCGGGGCUACAUUGAGGGAUAAAAGGAAAAAAAAUGAAAUGUUAAUGUAAAUGUUACGAUAUUUUUGUCCUGAUAAAACUAAACAAAUGCUCCGAAUUGGACAUUUGACAACAAAAAAACAAACACCAAACGCUAAUCUGACCAAAAAAAUAUAAAAAAUGGACUGUGCCAAUCAAUAAGUAUAAGAAGAUGUUAUUAUGAAUUACAAAAUCCUGAAUGUAAUUGUACUCUUUGUUGUGGAGGACACUGUUGGGCAACGAGAAAGGCCAAAAAAGGCCCACAACAGACAGAACUUUGUAUUAUGACACAAUGAAGACUUCCUAGGUAACGUAAAAUGAGAAUAACGGUUUGAAAGGAUGAGUUUGGAGGGCUUUUAGUUUGUUUUUUUUGCAAUCGCUCCCAGUCAAUAAAUCCUCUGGAAAGCAAAUCUUACUUUUUUUUUUUUUUUUUUUAAAAAAAUAUAUUGUUGUGAGCAAAUGCAUACUUAGGUGUUGUGCUUGAUUCAAUUCUUUGGAGCAUAAUCUCCCGUGGUGUGUGCCAUUAUUGUACAAAGCUAUGAGGCAUUCAGACUAUGUUUGUGUGGAUGUUUAGUGGCACCUUAUGCUUUGCACAUGGGGACAAAGCAUGAUUGAAAAAAGUAAAAGUCAACAAAAUCAACGUAAAAACAAGAACCUUAAAUAUGAUGAAAAUAACCAAACAAUGUUCAAUGGACCAUUAGUGAAAAUACAGUUAAUGCCAUUGCAACAAAUUGCUUCAUUAAAAGUCAUCGUCUGUCCCCCCCCCCCAGUCACAAUUUCAAUUUAGUUUUUCACUUCCGUAAGCUGCAACACCAUUGGUCUGUUUGUGAUCCUCACAGUUUGGAACAAAAGCCUAGUCCAUUGGUUCAUUUCGCCAUGAAAACAUAAUACUAUUAACAUUUUUGCAUCAAAAGACUCAAGUACACUGAAUUGAUUGGAUAGUUCCGCCAUGUAUAUUGCCGCGUUCAUUUCAGAACACAACAUGUGGACAGCAUUACACUUGAUUCUUAUCCACGUCGGAUGCAUUGAGGCGAUUGUAACUCUCACCUAGCCAACUAGAUAUGAUUGUAGAUAGACCACCGUUUACAGCGUUCCUCAUCAUAGUAAACACUAUUUGUACUGUACGAUUCUAGAGCCAAAUGAACGAUGUCUUGUCAUUUCCAAUGUGAUAAACCCAGUCUUUUACAGUAACAUUGUAUUGCAAGUCAUUUAUCUUUUUGGGGGUGGAGGGAUGAGGGGGGAACAAGUAAUCUCUGAGCACCUAUGUCCCACGUUGGAAGAGAAAACUGCUCAGUUUAUGUUCCUGCUUCUAACUUCUUGGCUGACGUGUGUCUCCAUAAUGAAAAAUAAACCACUGAAGGAACAAAAGGCACGUUUUGGAAGUCAUCUUUGCAAUGCAGAAGCCCAGCCAAUAAUCCAAUCAUUGAAACCUGAUAAUCCACUGAUGGAUUAGGGUUGCCAAUGUGUGUACUUAUUUUGUAAGUACCCAACAAGAACGUAAGAAAAAACGAUGGAAACGUUGCUAAACCCACUAAACGACGUGUCACUCUACUGUAUGUUUAAGUACAAAUUACCUUUUUUGACUGUUAACAAGAAAAGAUUGAUCGUAAAUGUCUUCAACCUGGAAAGCAAGAAUCUCAACUGCAUAAACCCCCAAUGAAGACAUUAUUUUUGCUUCUAAGAUCUUGCUUCUGGCUCAAAAUCUCUAUUGUAUGGAGAUUAUAAUGAAUGUAGAAAAAACUAAAAAAAUACAUGGAUUGUACCAAUACACUUUCUGAUUUAUUUAAUUUGAAUGUUUUAUUUGUUUUAACAUCAAUAAUGCACUUGUAAAUAAGCCAUAUGUUGUUCAAAUAAACCACUAUUUAUUGAUCAACCAUGGAUUUCCGUGUGUCAAGACCCUUUGUCUUCAGAAUCAGACUACACUUACACUUGUUAGAGUAGAUGCAAAAGUACAAAGCGAACAACGAAAGUAUACAAAUAAAGUAACAUAGCAAUGUAUACAGCUAUUUACAAAGUAUGUGUUUUAAUGGUUUUAUCACAUUUAAAUGAAGAGGGGCAUCGGGUUAUAGAGUAUACCAUCAGUCAAAACCAAUCAAAUCCUCUAUUUAAUAAGGUAGAGCAGCAUUAUGAAAUGCCAUGAUUACGUCUAGCUGUAAUACGUUAAUAACAAGCUGUCGAGUUGUCAAGGCUGGCAUGUGGGAGCUCUCUUUCCGAUGAGGUUCUUCCUGUCUCUCUCCUGGAGCAUGGGGCCUUAGGCUGCAGUGCUGGCUGACAGCUGAAGUGCGGUAGGCCCUGGCCCGCUAUAGCUGCUGAUGAAUGCUAUCGCUGCUGAUAGCUGCUCCUGGUGAUGGCUGCUGCUGGGGGAGAGAGAGGGGUGGUGCUGGGAGGCAGGUAGCUGUCUGUCACCAUGGCAGUGUCCCACCCACGGUGGGUGGGCAUCGGUGCUGC
ensembl:lncRNA